CCUACGGGAGGCAGCAGUAAGGAAUAUUGGACAAUGCUCGCAAGAGUGAUCCAGCCAUGCCGCGUGCAGGAAGAAUGCCCUAUGGGUAGUAAACUGCUUUUGAACUAGAGAAAACCCCAGUACGUGUACUGGGCUGAUAGUAUAGUUAGAAUAAGCAUCGGCUAACUUCGUGCCAGCAGCCGCGGUAAGACGAAGGAUGCAAGCGUUAUCCGGAUUCAUUGGGUUUAAAGGGAGCGUAGGUGGACUGAUAAGUCAGUGGUGAAAUCUCCGAGCUUAACUCGGAAAUUGCCAUUGAUACUGUUGGUCUUGAGUACAGUUGCUGUGGGCGGAGUAUGACAUGUAGUGGUGAAAUACAUAGAGAUGUCAUAGAACACCGAUUGCGAAGGCAGCUCACAAAGCUGUAACUGACACUGAGGCUCGAAACGUGCGGGGGAUCGAAACAGGAUUAGAUACCCUGGUAGUCCGCACCGUAACGAUGAUUACUCGCUGCUAGGGGCAACCGUUUAGUGGCUUAGCGAAAGCGAUAAGUAAUCCACCUGGGGGUACCGCCGGGCGACGGUGAAACGUCGAAAGUGAAGUUGACGG
rnacentral:rRNA from 1 species